rnacentral:rRNA from 1 species
UACGUAGGGUGCAAGCGUUGUCCGGAAUUAUUGGGCGUAAAGAGCUCGUAGGCGGUUUGUCGCGUCUGCUGUGAAAAUCCGAGGCUCAACCUCGGACUUGCAGUGGGUACGGGCAGACUAGAGUGUGGUAGGGGAGACUGGAAUUCCUGGUGUAGCGGUGGAAUGCGCAGAUAUCAGGAGGAACACCGAUGGCGAAGGCAGGUCUCUGGGCCAUUACUGACACUGAGAAGCGAAAAGCAUGGGGAGCGGACAGG